CACAAAUUUUAAAAACUCCUGGGAAGCAGAUAACUUUUGCUUUUUUCCCCCAUAUAUUGCAUUAGCUGUAGUGAAGCAGGGUGUCAGCCAGGAUGGGGAUAGUAGAGCCUACUCUGCUGUAGGUGUUGCCCAUAUGAUGGAACUUGUUCUGUGGCAUUGAAUAUGUUAGCCCAUUGCAUUUUAAACUUUGGCUCUUAAUUAUUUCUUACCAGUUAAAAAUACAAGUGUAACUGAAGAAGUGGGCAAGUGAGUACCAGUUGCCUUUGGUGAUAUGAUAUCAGUUUAUGAGGAAAGAUCUUGAGAAAGUAUCUCAGGUCAACCUAUGGAAUACCUUAAAGGAGCAACUAGAGAAAAUUACACCUAAUUUCCUGUCUUAGUCAGAGUUCAGUUGCUGUGAAGAGACUCUGUGACUGUGGCAACUCUCCGAAAACAUUUAAUUGGGGUAGCUUACAGUUCAGAGAUUCAGUCCAUUAUCAUGGUGGGAAGCAUGGCAGCCUGCAGGCCGACUUGGUGCUGGAAGAGCUAGGCUUGAUUCAAAGGCCGAAGAAGGAGAAUUGGGUGGCCUGCACCCACAGUGAACACAUUUCCUCCACUAAGACCUCACCUACUCCAACAAGGUUACGCUUCCUAAUAGUCCCGCUCCGGCUGACCAGGCAUUUAAAUGAGCCUUAGGGGGCCAUUCUUAUUCAAACCAGCACAUUCCCCUGUAGGAUUCUGCUUACAUUAAGUGUGCCUUUAUCCUCAGGCCCCACUGUUCUAGUGGCGCAAGGGUAGAAACACUUGGGGAUGGAGUGUAGUCAUGUAGUUGCUUGGCUAACAGCCUAACAGCCUGCUUUGGAGAAAGCUCCCUGUGUUAAAACAUGGAACUAGAACCUCUUUAUUCUAGACAUCGAAAGUUAUUGUCUAGCACCUAAUCUUUUAGAAGCGUGUAGGAACUUCUUUUUUUCCUAGCUAAAAAAGAAAACUAACAAUAGAUAUGUUGCCUCCAUGCAUGUCUGUGUGCCACAUGUGUCCCAGGUCCCUCUAAAUUCCUUGGACCUGGAUCGACAGAGAGUUGUGGGCUCCCAGGUGGGUGCUGGGAACUGAAGUCCAGUUCUUAAUCGCUGAGCCAUCUCUCCAGGCCCUGAGACAGCUCACCUUUUCAUCAGAAAAGCAGGUGCAGUGAAGGUCUGUUAAAGGCUAUAUUCACAGGCUCCUGUGUUCCUCACAGAGCUGUUAGCCACCGAGGACCCUGCCAGUUCAAGGAACGAUUACUAGUAAGGUUGCCUGGGAAUGUGAAGAAUUUUCUAUUUCUCAUAGAAUCAUUUUAUCUAGCAAUAGAAAUUAAGGCAGUGGACAAAUUAACAGGAGUCAAGAUCUUCCUUUUCAUACACUUAACUGAGCACACGAAACUGAUUUAGUGUUGCUUCAUGUUGAAGACUGGGCUCUUGAUCUUCCCACUUAUCCCUCCCAUAGUCUUCAUUGACUCAAUAAACGAACCCUUUAUUUGAAAAGAAGCUGAAGUAGGGUUUGAAACAUACCUGUGGUUGGUCUGUUACUCACUAGGUAGCCCAGGCUGGCCUUCCAGCUCAAGGUAACCUUCCUGCCUUCCCUGAGUGCUGGCAUUUCAGGUGUGUGCCACUACUCCUGGUAAAUGGCACCAUUGUUAACCCAGUUGCUCAACCAAACUCUAGGAGGUAUCCGUGAUGUCUCUUUGCUCUCCACAUCCAGCUCUAACCCUUCUUUACCUCCAGAAACACUGGGUAGGUCUUUUCCUUAUCUGACUUGUGGGCGGUAACUUCUGAAUUCCUGACUCUGCUUUGAGCAUCCAGUAAUCCAUGUUUCUCUUUCUGUCUGCAGGACUGAUUGUUUUAUGCUGGUGUGUGUGUGUGUGUGUGUGUGUGUGUGUGUGUGUGUGUGUGUGUGUGUGAGAGAGAGAGAGAGAGACAGACAGACAGACAGACAGACAGACUUUCAGCUGUGCCAUCUAUCUUCCCCCAACCCCAGACUGGGAAAUUGUGAGGAGGGCUAGGAGUUGUAGCUCAGUGUUAGAGCAUGUUCUUACCAUAUGUAAGAGCCUAGAUUCAAUUUUCAGCAUUAAAAAAAAUUCGAAUCAGGUUACAGUUACCCUGGCUUAAGACAUAGAGGCUUCCAUUGCAGUUAAUACACAAUGGGAGCUCCUUCUCAACCCCUGUGCCUGUGCCUGCGUCUGAUCUCUUACCUACAGUUCCAAGGACCAGCAACACAGGCCGUUGUUCUGUACUGUCCCUUAGGCCGAAGAGUUUCCUGUCUUGUCAUUGUCUUGUCAUUUGAGUCUUGUUCACAUGUCAUCACCUUGGAGAAAUUUCCCUAGGUCCCUUCUGUUCUCUCCUCAACUUUUCAUAGCAUCCGUCUUAAUCUGUAGUUGCUUGGUCUGAGUAUUGUUUUUCUCUGAUUAGCACUGUGAGAACCAGGACUAUGUCAGCCUGUUUUCCUCCCUUGGUGUCUGAAACCGUAAGGCCUGGCACGUAGAACAAACAGGUUGUGAGCUUGUGAAUGAACUGACUAGUUAAGGAUGAAGCUCACUCACCACUUUAGCUGGAAGUAACGAGGGCAGCAAACUAGUAAGCUAGACCUGUUGACUGUACUCUUGGAGUAAUCACUCGGAAACUGCGUAGUACCCGUUAGCCAUUGUGUAUUCCCAUAUAACUAGAUCUAAUCAUCCCUGUAUUAUCCUAAUAACAGCAUGUUGUGUUCAUAGGUUAACAGUUCUCUUUCAUGGUUAAUUACCUGUCAAUUUGCAGACAUUUUAAAUUCUUAACCUGUUUUCUCUAAAAAAAAAAAAA